rnacentral:misc_RNA from 1 species
CCAAGCAUUGAGCAGUUAAAGAAGACCCCCUAUAAAG